UCUCUCUCUCUCUCUGUGUCUCUUCUAUUUUGUGCUUUCACACACACACACACACACAUAUAUAUAGAGAGAGAGAGAGGAGCUAGCAGGGCUGUGGCAUGAUCAGAAUCAAUGGGUGCGUGUGAGCAAGAUGGAGAAGCAGGGCACGUGCAUUACUAACUCAUCACAUAUAUACAUAUAUACAUAUAUACAUAUAUAUAUACAUAUAUACAUAUAUACAUAUAUACACAUAUAUACAUACAUAUAUAUAUACAUACAUACAUAGAUAUAUACAUAGAGAUAGUAGUAGUAGUAUAGCUUAUGUCUUGAUGCUCUUCGUGAAUUAGGUUAAUUAAUUUAGUGAGUUGGUUGUUCAUGUGCCCGUCUUCCCCAUCAUGACCACUACUUCACCCUUCCACCAUCCAUCGAUGAAGCUCCAUUUCAGUGUGGAUGUAGAGAGAGAUUAAGAUGGAUAGGCAUUGACUGAAUUGUCUUGAUCGGAGAAGGUUAAGUUACAUAUGGAUUGACAAAGUGUGUUAUGUGUAUGGUCACCAUCUAGUGUGGCAUACUCUGAUUUUGACGAAUUCCUUUCCGGGUACUCUACAAUUUCUCUUGAAUUUUAGUAUCUGAAAUUCUUAUCUGAUAGCUCAUGUGAUGCUAAAUCAAUAUAUAUAUAAUGCUAAUGAUUAGUGAUUAGUGAUUUUGAUCGCUAAUUAUCUUAGUCUGUA